GAUUAACGCUAGCGGCAGGCCUAAUACAUGCAAGUUGAACGGGAUUAGUCGUAGCAAUACGAUUAUGAGAGUAGCGCACGGGUGCGUAACACGUAUGCAACCUACCUAUAACUGGGGGAUAGCCUCCCGAAAGGGAGAUUAAUACCGCAUAACACUAUGAGAUGGCAUCAUUUUAUAGUUAAAUCUACGGAGGUUAUAGAUGGGCAUGCGUCCGAUUAGCUAGUUGGUGAGGUAAUGGCUCACCAAGGCUCCGAUCGGUAGGGGGUCUGAGAGGAUGAUCCCCCACACUGGUACUGAGACACGGACCAGACUCCUACGGGAGGCAGCAGUAAGGAAUAUUGGACAAUGGGCGCAAGCCUGAUCCAGCCAUGCCGCGUGAAGGAUGAAGGCCCUAUGGGUCGUAAACUUCUUUUAUACGGGACAAAACCCCUCCUCGUGAGGAGGGUUGAUGGUACUGUAAGAAUAAGGGUCGGCUAACUUCGUGCCAGCAGCCGCGGUAAUACGAAGGACCCGAGCGUUAUCCGGAUUUAUUGGGUUUAAAGGGUGCGUAGGCGGAUUAGUAAGUCAGUGGUGAAAGCCCGUCGCUUAACGGCGGAACUGCCAUUGAUACUGCUAGUCUUGAGUAUGGUUGAGGUGGGCGGAAU
rnacentral:rRNA from 1 species